UUUUUUACCCCCUUUUCCCCCUAAAACAAAAAACCCUACUCCACUUAUCCUUUCAGCCGUAACCCCCAUCUCUCCCCACAACAAUGGCGAAUGAAGAAUGAAGAUUUAAUAAAGAUUGAAUCGUUCAAGUUUAACCAAAAAUUGAGUGGUUGUGAGAAAGGUGUCGCCUAAACAAAAUCGGUAUGAUACGGCAUACCAAUUCAUUUCUUCAUCUAUGAUUUCUUCGUAUCUUCUAACCAAUGAAUGGAUUGUGAUAAAAAAAAACGUUAUAUUUUGCCGCUCAAAUAUUGUUCGUCAGUUGUCUCGUCCCACUCUGCUUCAGAAACGGAGAUCUUCGGGUCUCUGGUCGGGGAUGAAGUUUUCCUCAAAAGCAUUCUAAACUCUACCGAGACUGUAGCAAGAGGAGGGUCCGGAGCUUGGACCCAAAUGAUCUAGUUGGUGGUAUAGAGAUUGGACUAGAAUGGUGUGAGGUAAACGUUCAAGUACCAAUAAAAAAAGAUGAAAAGCUGGUAAGACCAUAUGGUUUAUUUUCUACAAUUCAAGAUUGUAUUGGUGCAUCCAUCGCAUGGCCCAAUCCAUUCAUCUCGGUAGUCCAUGAGGAUUGAGAACGCAUGAUGACUCAAGAUUUUAUGCUUCUAAUUUCUUUAAUUGCUUUUAAUUUCUUUGUUAAAUGUUAAGACUUUAUGUCAGAUAAUGUUAUAACUUAUUUAUAGUUAGUGUUUUUGUUA